AUGAACGCUGGCGGCGUGCCUAAUACAUGCAAGUCGAGCGAACAGACGAGGAGCUUGCUCCUCUGACGUUAGCGGCGGACGGGUGAGUAACACGUGGAUAACCUACCUAUAAGACUGGGAUAACUUCGGGAAACCGGAGCUAAUACCGGAUAAUAUAUUGAACCGCAUGGUUCAAUAGUGAAAGACGGUUUUGCUGUCACUUAUAGAUGGAUCCGCGCCGCAUUAGCUAGUUGGUAAGGUAACGGCUUACCAAGGCAACGAUGCGUAGCCGACCUGAGAGGGUGAUCGGCCACACUGGAACUGGGACACGGUCCAGACUCCUACGGGAGGCAGCAGUAGGGAAUCUUCCGCAAUGGGCGAGAGCCUGACGGAGCAACGCCGCGUGAGUGAUGAAGGUCUUCGGAUCGUAAAACUCUGUUAUUAGGGAAGAACAAAUGUGUAAGUAACUAUGCACGUCUUGACGGUACCUAAUCAGAAAGCCACGGCUAACUACGUG
rnacentral:rRNA from 1 species